rnacentral:lncRNA from 1 species
AUGACCGCUGAUGACGAAUUGAACCCAACAUGAUUCAUACGUUGUAGUAUGCUCCAUUUCAUCCACUUUCUCGCGCAAACAAUCCCAAAGUGCAUUUCAAGUUAAGAAGCUAAAUUUUCCUUCCCUCUCAUUUCCUUCAAAACCAUUCUCAACUAAUUCAAAAAAAACUACACAAACCCAAAAAUAACCCAAUAGAUGAUAUACUUAAAUAAGAAACAUUCAUAAGCACACUCAUGAGAUACGAUUAAGCUUACAAUACCGAAGAUGAAUAAUGUUAACAUGCCGUGCAAAGCAAAUUACUUUCAAAGAAACAUAUCAACAAACACCUGGUGUGCGGACGAAACAAUUCAACAGUGAUGUUGUUAAAGCUCAAAUCUUGCGUGGACAUUCAAAAACAAAUUAAAAUGACUGUGGAUGUGGAUGUGGUGGAUUGACCUCGGUUCUCGUACUGGAUGAACGCUGAGCCAUAUGCUGCUAUUGCCGCACUUUCAUUGAAAAACAGAAAAAGUUUAUGAAUUGAUAUGACUCGUGUUGAUACCCUACGCGAGGAGUGUGCAUGACUGAUUUUUGAAAUUAAUUGAUUUGUGUUUGUUUGUUUUUAAUUUUUCUAGCCAUGAAUCAGUGGUUAUCAAUAGCAGUUAUAGUUGCUAGAGUAUUUUGGCAUAAAAAGUGUUAGGUGG